AGAGUUUGAUCCUGGCUCAGGAUGAACGCUGGCGGCGUGUCUAAGGCAUGCAAGUCGAACGAGUGUAGCAAUACACAAGUGGCAGACGGGAGAGUAACACAUUGGUAACCUACCCCUGACUCGUGAAUAAUUCACCGAAAGGUGGACUAAUACACGAUACGCCCUCCGAAGUAAAUUCGGAGAGCAAAGAUUUAUCGGUGAGGGAGGGGCCUAUGUCCUAUCAGCUAGUUGGUGAGGUAAUGGCUCACCAAGGCUACGACAGGUAUCGGGUGUGAGAGCGCGGCCCGACUCAAUGGGACUGAGACACUGCCCAUACUCCUACGGGAGGCUGCAGUCAAGAAUCUUCCCCAAUGGACGAAAGUCUGAGGGAGCGACGCCGCGUGAAUGAUGAAGUCCUUCGGGACGUAAAGUUCUUUUCUCUGGGACGAACAAAUGACGG
rnacentral:rRNA from 1 species